CCGCGGUCGAGCGCGAUCGCGCCUUCGCGGCGUACCUGCGCACCAGCCGGUGCGCAGCGACGCCGUUACGCACCGGCGUGUGUGCCUCUUUGUGCCUUCGCGCGUCCCUCUCCGUCGGCUUCUGCUCCGGGACUCGACGCCCCUCGACCCACACACCGACCCACACGCCGACCCACACCUAUGCACCGUUUGCCCGCGGCUUUUCCUUUAUUUUUCGGCCUCCCGAGACCGCUUCUCGAUGUUUUCGCUCCUGACAUUCCCGCGGCCUUGUCCGACGCUCGGUAGGUCCUCGUCGACUCGAUAACUCGACUCGACCGACGAAACGUUUGCGGCGUCCCCCGAGCCACCUCGUGGAUUCGAUCGAGCCCAGCCAAACCGUCGGAUCGACUCGAGAUCGACGGCUUCGGCGGCGAUUGCGUCAGCCGAUACAUCGUAUGUACAGGGAGGACAUGAAUCACGCAGGGACGCCGCGGAAGGCCGGGAACUCGGACGCGGCUCUUGGCAGACCUCCGCAAGUCCCGCCACUCCUGAGCCCGCACCCUGGUUGGCGUUUUCGGAGCCGGAUGGGAUAAUGGAAUGCGUUUCUUUAUGAUGUUUGUCCGCUGCGGUCCGCGAUCGAUCGGAACGAGUCCUGCUGCCUUACUGGUACACGCGUUUGCCGAAACAAAGGUCCCCCGAGCGCCCUGACUGGUCCAGCGGGAUUUGGGCUUUCACGCGGCCAGCUUGAAUGAACGUUUUCGACCCCACACCUCGGCGUCGUUUCGAUUCAAGAAGCCGAUUCGACGACCAUUGCUGAUCGGCAGCACCUAGCAGCCCGUUACCGUCCAGGGACAGAAUUCUCAGCGGGACGUUUCCUGAGAGAUCGCUGCUAACAAAACUGGGUUAUCGUGGAGAGAUCCGCUCGACGGAACGAAUACGCGUUCCGCCACUAGUUCCACUGGUUCGACUGGUUCCACCGGUUCGAAAGACGGGGUCUUGCUUAAGGCAGAGCCGCCGAUUUCGUCCGGCUACAUUGGGAGACCGUCUCGGAUGCUGGCCUGGACCGCGGGAAGAUGCGAGCAGCAUGCGAAGGCGGCCAUCUCGGACCCGAAGAGACGGACCGGUCCUGCCAUUAUUUCGAAAGUGGAUCGGCUCCGAGGAGACCGCAGCCGCGACUUUUAGGCCGCUCGAAAUAUUCGAACCUCGGCUCCGAUCCACGGGUAAACCCGACCUCCGAGGAUCACCGGGCGAGGGGCGAUACGUCAUCGGGGCCCUGCGCGUUAUCUCGAGAUAAUCCAUAUUUAUGGGUCUCUCCUAAAAAUAUCGGGUCGGAUCGGGGACGCGAAAUCCUCAGCCGAAGAUCCUCGGAUCGGCGCGCGCAACCUUGGCACCGAUUCCCCGUGUCGACGCUCGCUCCUCGCAGCGUGCAUCGAUUAAUCCCGGAACGAGGAGGAUAUAUUUAUGCGUAGAUGCGCCGUCUAGUUCCCAGUACGGGUUUAGGAAUAAGAUCGGAUUUAUCGAGGGGACGUGAAUUUCCACGGCGAAAUCGAAACCGUCCCUGUAAUUACCGGUCGACACGCUGCGGGUGGUUAUCCGUGUUAACGACAUACGAAGAGAGAAGGGAAGACUUUCCGAUCCGCAAUAGAUGCGUAACGUCGAUAAUUGAUAAAUUCCGUACUUUGCGCACCCGGCGCGCGCUCCGUCGAGGGUAUCUGGAUUUUCCGCGAUCUUCUCUGAUUUCCUGUGAUUACCUGGGAUUUGUUUUGACGGUCAAAUCUAGGCCGACUGGUCGACGACCCGAGUUUCACCGUGGAGUUACGUUGUACCUCCUUACACAGCGCGAAUCCCUCGUGACGCUCGCGGAAGGCUCGUCGCGUGACGCACCCUCGCCGUUUAUAUAUGUAAGCCCACGUAACUUAUCCAAUGUAGAGGAACGUGUUUCGAGAGAGGAGCAUCCGCGCGUGCGAGCCAAUCUUGACCUAAGCUCGAGAAAGGCACUCGUAUAAGAAGCAGAGGCGUCGCGACGAGUCCCCGAGUUCGAGGCGAGGAGAGCCGAAGGUGACUCCUCGUCGUGGCAGAAUUUUCCAUCCGCGAGAGCCCCGAGUCUCGGAAUUUUCACCCUACCCGGGACCUCCGAUUCUAGGUCGGAAAUUGGGUCUUGCAUUUCCAUAUCUUCCACUCGGAAACCUAAAGUGGGACUCCGUUCGAGCGGAGUCGGACGUGGACGGUUGAAAGGAGGUCUUGAAAGGGGGAACCGGGACCAAGGGUGGUCCGAGUUAGGGUUGCACGGGUUUACAAGGAAGGGACGGAAUUUCGAGUCGCGGCGUUCGCGCGUCGAAAUCUCCGGCUUCCUAGGGACCCUUCUUUUCUCCCUAGUCGCGUGCUCGGCCGAGUCUCUGGGGUGGCGGCCCGCAGACCUCCUUUAUAUUUAAUUUUUCCAUUCGCGGUCGUUGCGUAAAACCCGCGACCGAUCCGAGGCUCGCUUGCGGCGAGGCCGGGUUUACCGCGAAGUCGCGCCGUACAAGGAAACGCUCGGUUACGCCGACGACAAACGGCGACGGCGGUUUCUCGCGGUAAACACGAGGAGUCAUCGGUAGCGAGCUAAGGCCUCGGGGAGAGACCGCGGAUGGACGUCUCAAAGGCGGCGAGACGAGGGCCGGUCCCUCCGGAAGACAAGUAUGGCGCCGACUUUCGCGGCCGCGUCCCUCGCUCGGCCAAAAACUCCGGCCAAAUGUUCGCGCACGUCGGAAACUCGUCCAGCAUUACCCUCGGCCGUUUAACCGAGGAAUCGUAUGACUUAAUUUCGGGGCUGAUAAAUAUUUACGGCUUUUCAGGGGGAUCGAGGGGUGUCACCUUCGGCGAUCGACUCGAGCCGGUCGGCCGCGACGCGAGGCCCGACUUUUUCGACCGGAAAUUCGUAUUUACGUGAGUACGAGGUUAAAAGCGACCUUUGUGCGGCCGUGAAUAAAUUUCGCUUAGCCCAGGGAUAGCGAGGAAGGCCUCAAUUAGCGCCAUUGGUGGAAUACACCCCGCGAGGAGAAGUUUCAAAGGCCGCCCAUCGGACCGGGGAGGCAAACGGAAUCAAGAACCGGGAGUCAAGGUACACACCGAGCGCGACCAUGUCCCCCGUCCUCUACCUCGGCAAGGUCCUCGCCGACGCGACGGGUGCAUUUUUCGUCCUCGACUCGCACCAACCUACAUAUUCCACCGCGGAAAAGCCUUAACGCUAUACCGCCUGUACUCGCCGUCAAAACACGAGAUAACUCGGCCGCGGACGAGACGUCGGCUCCGGGAGGGAACACGUGUUCCCUCUGUGCCAAUCGGCGUCGAGUUUCAAUUCCUGAAUCGUUGCGAAACACGCCUUCGCGCUAUUAUCGAAUCUCUCCGUGACAACUCGGGCAAACACGGUCAGUGCCCAGGUGUAGGGUGUAGACGGCCACCGAUGCGUGGAGGAAAUCAAUCCAGUUACAUAACCCAUACCACGUAUUAACAUAUUCCCGCCGAAAGAGACGCAUCAGCCUCCAGGGCAUCCUGGACGCUUUUAACAUUUUUCGCCCAUCCUCCUCGUUGCAGCCGAGGAAUUGCAACGGGUGGGGGGGGUGGGGGGGGGG